GACGAACGCUGGCGGCGUGCUUAACACAUGCAAGUCGAACGGAAAGGCCUGCUUUCCCUUGUGGAUUGCGGGUACUCGAGUGGCGAACGGGUGAGUAACACGUGAGUGAUCUGCCCCCAACUUGGGUAUAAGCCUGGGAAACUGGGUCUAAUUCCCGAUAGGACUGCAGGGUGGUGCCUGUGGUGGAAAACGAUUUUCUAGUGGUUGGGGAUGAGCUCGCGGCCUAUCAGCUUGUUGGUGGGGUAAUGGCCUACCAAGGCGGCGACGGGUAGCCGGCCUGAGAUGGGGGACGGCCACAUUGGGACUGGGUUACGGCCCAGACUCCUACGGGCGGCAGCAGUGGGGAAUAUUGCGGAAUGGGCGGAAGCCUGAUGCAGCGACGCAGUGUGGGGGAUGACGGCCUUCGGGUUGUAAGCUCCUUUCGACCGCGAGGAAGCCACCUGGUUGGAAGGGUGGUGACGGUAGUGGUAGAAGAAGCACCGGCUAACUACGUG
rnacentral:rRNA from 1 species